rnacentral:rRNA from 1 species
UACGAAGGGGGCGAGCGUUGUCCGGAAUAAUUGGGCGUAAAGCGCGCGUAGGCGGCUUAGUUAGUCAGAUGUCAAAGGCAAUGGCUCAACCAUUGUACGCAUCUGAAACUGCUAAGCUUGAGUGCAGGAGAGGUGAGUGGAAUUCUCGGUGUAGCGGUGGAAUGCGUAGAUAUCGGGAGGAACACCAGUGGCGAAGGCGACUCUCUGGCCUGUAACUGACGCUGAGGUGCGAGAGCGUGGGGAGCGAACAGG